ensembl:lncRNA
GUGCAAGAUUCCUGUGGCCAGGGAUGGUGCCCUGUUCAGGAUGGGAACCUGAGUGCCUAGCACAGUGCCUGACACAGGAGAGGGACCAAAUUAUUUGUUGUUUGAAACCGAGGACCAUCAGAGAAAAAUAGGGAUAAUUAAAUGUUUAUUAUCGUAACCAGAGAUCUUCUGAAUGUGGUCAGAAGAAUCAGCACCACCUUCAAUUCUUCUUGCUUAGUCAUCUGUUUUGUCAGUAUUUCAACAUAGAGACAAAAAUGCCUCCAGUAUUCUGAAGUUGAGGGAACAGACACUGUGCCUUUCUCACACCUGAGGACGCAGUGAGUCAUAACAGGAUGCUAAUGUUUGCUGGAAACACCGUCUCUCUGUUCUGUGAAGCCCACCAUCAUUCAUAAUCAGCUGUGCCAUCUCCAGAUGUGUUCUUUUGCUAUAAGUCAUCAACGUGUAGCCUGAGCUGGGAAGCACAUUCAUACUGUUGGACCACCUGUUACUGGAACAGAUCGUGUUCAGGGCUUAGCAUGGACAGCUUGUACUUGAUCCACUGUCUACUGCACUUUGAAGCUGGGGUGAGCUCGAGGCUGGAGGCUCAAGCCAUCUGAAGACUCGCUCACCCACACAUCUGGCAGUUGUGUGGCGGCACACCUACACAUGGCCUCUGUAUGUAGCACUUCGGCUUCCUCACAGAAUGUUGGAUGUGUCCCAAGGAAGUGUGGAUUAACAGACAAAAGCACUGCAGAGCUGAAGUCUACAUUUUAAAGAGAAUAUUUAAUAAGCAGCAACAAUGUAUGGAGUGCUACUGUGAACCUGCAAUGUCACAGGCAGUGGGACUCUAGCAGAAGACCAAAACGGACCUGAUCUCCAUCCUGAUGGAGCUGACAUUGUGAUGCAGUAUUUCUCAAACUGUUUGUUAUCAUCCAUUACUGGGGGGUAAAAUCAAUGCUGUGUAACAAGACCUACAUUAGUUUUUUAAAAAAUUAAUAUAGAAUGCAAUAUAAAUUAUCAGAGCAUAUCACAUGUACAAGGGUAAGUUUUGUUUCAGUCAUAUAUAUUUCUGUAUGUGCACUGGAUUGCAGUAUGUUUUCUUAUUGCAAUUAUGUUUUUGUGUUGAAAAAAGGCACUGGUCUUCGUAGGACUUUACAUAGCUAAUAUAUUAUUGAUGCCUUCUUUUUACAGAAUAUAGGGAUUUAGGUCAUCUUAGAGAGAUAUACAAAACAGGAAGAUAACAUAAAUUAGAAAAUGAUGUAAAGAAACAAGAAGAUAGUGACAUAUAUUAAAGCCAGAAAUGAGACUAAGCUCUCUCGAAUGCAUUCUUAAAUACUUGCAAACUGGGGGAGUUCAUUUUGGCUUUAAUUUUUGUGGUCAAAUAAAAAGAACAAGAAAGGGAAGGCUGAUCAGUUCCAUCAGUUAUCUAAAAGGUCAACGCUCAGGAGUUACAUCUAGGACUGGUAGGAAGGCCAGAAAGAAGUUUGUCCCCAGGGUUCUCCUUAGGAAGAGACUCUAAAAUGCAACACUUUCUCCAUACAAGUAAACACUCAGUUCCAUGACCAUCUACAGGAGAUUAAUUAAUGUUAUUCCUUUCCUUCCUGUCCUAUUCUAUAAUACUCUCCAGGCUCAGAUACACAAGGGAAAGAAAUGGCAUAAAACCCUUGAGAAAAACAUAGAAGGGUGCCAUUUGAACAUCGAUUAAAAUCAACACAGAUUCCGCACUUGGGAAUUGUCAAGUCUAAAUGAGCUUUCUUAGGAAUUCGUUCUUCAGGCACCAACAAUUUUACUAGCUUUGACAAUAAUCCGUACAAUUUUCAUAGGUAAAUCCAACUUUUGCUUCUUCAACUUAGCAAAAUUUAUAAUCACGGGAAAUAAAAUUUUUUGAAACACAUUCACUAUGAGGUGCAUAAGAACAAAAACUAGCUACUUAAUAAGUAUGCAAAAAUGCAGCCCUAAGUAGUAGAAAAUGAAGUCCAUUUAUCUCUUGUUAUGAGUAUUUCUUAAACCCAGCUCCACAGAUAAAAUGUCAAAUUGCUAACCCUGGUUAUUAGUAAUCAUAAUCAAAUGAUGAUAGAAGCCAACUUCCCCAGGGAGAAAAUGUUUGAAAUUUUGACAGGAUGUAGAACAAAGCUAUUAGAAUGGGCUGCUCUGGGGUUGAUUGGUUGUCAUGAUCUAGAGAAAGUAUUUGGCAGGAUCUUAACUUUCAGAUCUUCAUCCUGCUGCCACCUACAAAUGCACCCGCUUUCUGAGAAGGACAUGGUUAGAAUAUAUGCUAAACGAAUCCGCUUGCUUGAUCACCAGCUGACAUGGAUCCCAAAUCACUAUUUUCACGCCAGUCCUAAUGAUGUAGGCUCCGUGGGAUGCGAGCACGGAGACAGCGGCAGGUCACUCAUUUCAUAGCUCAAUUUCCCAGAUGCUAUCUUAGUCCCCUCUUCUUCCAAGGGUCAACCCAGAGACACAGCGCAGCUGUCUGAAGGAGCAGAAGUCCCUGGGUGCAGAGGGUUUCUAAAGGAGCGGUAUCUGCUCUAGUCCAGUUUCGUUCAAAACUCCCAAGUUAUGGCUCCUUAUGUGCCUUAUGUGGUUAUCCAAUUAGAGCCCCCAAAAACUCCAUUUUUCUUCAAGUUGAUUUUAAGAGCUUCCCCCUGCACGGUACAGAAAGGGAGACAGAAGGAGAUGUGCACACCCCACCUGAAGGCUCAAGUGUGCCUCACACAAUGUUGCCAGAAGAGCCCGGCUUCCAGCAUGGACCAGCUCGCUUGUUUAGAACACAACUCUAAUAAGGGUAAGAGGGGGUGACAUUCAGAUCCCUUAUGCAGCUGGUGAACCCAAUGAGUUUACCUUGGAGGGAGAACAGUCAGGAGCUGACUGCUUUUUUCUCUCCUUGUGGUCCUCAGACAUCUCCAUUGUCAGACUUGCCCCCUGAAAUCAUCUGAGGUCCCAGAGUUUUCAGUCAUGCCUCUUUCCGGUAAUUAGGACUCGUUUUCAGGCUUUAAAACUUCCUAGUCCAUUCCAAUGCAGAAGUUCAACCUUACACUCUUACAGUCAAUAUAAUAAUCUUAUAGUAGUAGCACUUCCAUCCCUUGGCUUCAGAACUUCAGCGGGGUGAUGCAGUCAGAAGGUGGGAAAGACGCAAAGCUCCAGGGGUCCCCGUGAUUGGUGCAGUCGUGGUCCAACAGCAGGUGCCUCUGUGAGGCAGGCGGCACCAGAGGCCCUCUGAGCACAUUUGUGAGUUUCUUUGGGAGGCUUCCUGUGUAGCUUUCUGAAACUCUUGCUUGAUUUCCAGACAGGGCAAAGUACAAUCUUCCCUUUACUUACUCAAUAGUUGCAUUCCUGAAAAAUUAGAGCAUGUUAAGAUGGCGCCAAAAGUACUGGGUAUUUACAUGUAUAAUGGAGUUAAGGUCUGGGUUCGGAGAUUUAUAAAGAGGUUUUUCACCAAUGAGACAUUUGAAGGCUGUAGGGGAAGUGGGACGCUUCUCUGUCCUGAGCAUUGCAGAUGUCAAGUAUCCCCACCUCCUCCCACUAAAUGUCAGAGACAGCACUCCCACCCCCUCAUCCUGGUGACGGCCAAAAUUACCCCCUCAUAUUUCCAGAAAUGCCCCAGCGGGGAAUUGUACUGCCCUCAGUGAGCCCUCUAGCCCCUACUUUUUGAACAUGGGACACUUAUCGCCUCCUGUCCUCAACUCUGAGCUUUUAGCUGAAUCUCGAGACAGGAGUCCGGACUAAGAAAAUCCCUACUAGGGGUUUUAGAUUAAACUAUACUUACUGUGCUAAGCACUACAUAUAAAUUCUUGUAAAAUUGUGUUAGGUUAAAUUUCAGCAAAUGAGGAAACUCAGAACAGUUAAAUAACUUAUCUGAGGUCAUUCAGCUAAUAAAUAGCAGCAUCAGAAUUUGAAUCACAGGCUUCUGAUCUAAUACAUUUAAAUAACUAAAUUGGAUUUUUGUAAGAAAGAACAAAGAAAAAACAAUAAUCACAUUAUAAAAUGGAGCCAUGAUAAAGUUUAUAUUCGUAAAAUGCUUGCCAUAAAGUUCAACAUACUGCCUAAGGCUGGACCACAAAUUUUCCUCUGAAAUAAAAACAGGGAAACAUUUUCAACUACACCAUUCACAAACUCACAAAGUUAAACUAAAGAGAAUCACUUUCCCUAACUUUAAGCCUACCUUUCUUUCUGAAAUUCUGUGGUCCAAAUUAUCUAUUGCCCCCAUUUGGCAUUUAGUCCAUAUUAGCUUGUACAGCUAUUUAUCUCUUUACUGAAAAUUCAGUAAAUUUGACCUUUUGAGAAUUUUCCUUGGGCUCAUUUUGAAAGGUACUGUAGAAUGUUGAUUUUGUGAAAAAUGAUGAUGAUCCUAGCUCCCUAAGCUGUCUGGAGCCUGCUCUCCAUCCUCAGCGUUACUCACUGGUAUCCUGACUAUCUCCUCAGCUCUGGCAUGGCUCCAAACUGUCCCCCACAUUGCUGCUAAAUUCUUCUUUCUAAAAUGCACGUCUAACUGUACCUCUUAUCUGCUUCAACUAUUCCAGUGAGUUCUUAAUAGCAAUAGGAUAAAGGCUAAACCCUCACAGCGUGGCGGUAAACUUUUCUAUGACUCUCUGGUUCCUGAUUAUUCCAGUCUAAUCCUAUGCCCGCUCAUACCCAACAUUACCAUCUAUUGAACAACUUUGUGCACAGCAAAGCUUUUUGGACCUGGAGCAACUUGCUCAUGCUGUUCUUCUUGCUUGGAAUACCCUUCAUAUCCCAUGCUCCCGUUACAUAUGUCUUCCUUGCUUCGCUCAAGCAUCAUUGCAUUAGUGAGGUUUCAAUUACUAUAGGCUAGGUAGUAAAUAAGCCCCCCCAGUUUUGGUGGACCACAAUGAUAAUCACUUAUCUUGUAAGAGAGCAAAAAGGGGCUCGUUCUGCUUGCCACAAUCUGGUGCCAAUCAAUUGCAAACAAUCCGGUGGUUGAGAAAGGCAAAUUGAUAUGAUUAGCCAGCAUAAUCGGAAGAUGAUGGACUAGUGCCCUGAAGAACCAUCUUAAAAUCAUAAGACUCCUGAGGCAGUUGUAGAGGGGAAAUGGGCGGGGAAGGCGGGGAGUUGGGGAAAUCGAUUAUCUGGUGUGAUGAAAUUCAAGGCACCACAUUAUCUCUUUCUUCUGUCAUUCGUGAUGGGUACCAAUGCAGCAAUUUUCUUUCUGGAGGUCGUAGUGUUCCUGGGGAACUCAGAGAACAAAGCUGUCUUACCACAGCUGGGAGAUAUAUGUAAGCAAGACUCAUAGAAUUAGCAGAUCGUGUAUUUUGUAAAAGCAAAAGGUGCUUAAUCAUCUAGGCUACCUGCAGGUUGGAAUGUAUUCACAGAGACUAGUGAGUCAGGGUCAUGGUUACAAUAUUGCUUCUUUUCCCUAAGAUGGCUUCCCUCAUGUUAACUUAAGAUCUAGUGGUUACAAUUUCAUGCUCACAGGUUUGCAGGUCAGCCAAGGGAGCUCUGUGAGGCUGUGGGUCAGGUUUAUAUUUGCUCCUCGUAUCUCUCAUUAUGGGACCUAGGGCUACCCACGGCCUAUUUUUCUUCUGGUGGAUGGUAGGUCAAGAGCAGCAGUCAAUCACCAAAGCACAUUUAAAGCUCUUUAACAUUCUGUUGCCCCAUGCAAGUCACAUGGCCAAGCACAAAGUCAAUGGGUUGGAAAAGUAUACUCUGCCUCUUCAACAGUCAGAGUCACAGUAACGUCUCACGGAAACUGGUGUGGAUGCCUAAUUCUGUUAUGGAGAAGUAGUGAAGACCUGGGAACUAGAAUUCAAUUGGUCCUAAUCAUCUCUAUGAAGCUUUCUCUAACUAUCCCAAGUCCUUGAUAAAAUGAUCACUCCUUUCUUUGUGGACCCACUCACAACAGACAUAAUUCUAUAAUAGCAUCUUUAACAUAUUUAAUAAACUCCCUUCUUUAAGUGUCUGUCCUCCUCUAUUACAUGGUAAAAUCUCAUUUUAUUCACCUUUGUGUUUUUCAAGUUUAUCACAGACCGUGGCACACAUCAAUAAAUAGUUGUUGAAUUAAUUAUUUAAUUUUUAACUAAGUACAUUGAGCAAAAGAGUGUAAAGCACAAAGAGGAUAAAGUAUUAAGAGUAUAAAGUAUAAGAGUAUAAAGAAUCUAAAUGGACCAUGAAAAAUCUCAACCACAAAUAGGAAAACAAGUUGUAGAUCAUUCAAUCAAGUUCAUAAAGAGAGGAGGCCCGUUGAUUACCCAUCUGUCUUUGAAAGCAUGAUAUAAAGAUGUCCAAGGCAAAGACUGUUGGGAGUAUGUGUCUGGUUUCCUGUGAGCACGUGGGGCAAUUGCUUAAGACUGGUUUGAUCCAGAUGUGGUGGACCUGCUGCUGUGGGCGGGAAGGGAGCUCUUGCCCAGGGAAAGUGUGGUGAGAGUCUGUUAGAAGGAGGAAACCUCAAAGGAAAAACGGUUCUGAGACCUUAUUUACGACAACGUUUUGUGUAGCCCUUUAAGUGGGGAAGUGGCUACUUUUUAAACAAAAAUUGGUCUGUUGAAAAAAGAAAAAAAAGGGACAUUGGUCAUUUGUUCUUGUAGAUCAUGCAACAAACAAAAAUGUCUCUGAAAGAAUGCAUGGUGUUUAUUUAUAAGAUGGGAUUAAAUUUGUGAAACUUCAGUUUAAUUAAAAUUAUUUUUCAUAUUUGCAACCGUCCACAACAUAUCUGUACAUGAACACAGAGGUGACGAGGAAGAAUCGUCUCCCCCCACCCUUGCUUUAAGGUUCUUAUGGCCCGUCAAAUAGAAAGGCAGGUUAGCAGGAGAAAAUAAAACAAAGUUUAGGAACAUGCAUACAUGGGAGAAACCCAGGAGAACUGAGCAACUCACCACAAUGGCCAAAGUUAUCCCCUUAAAUAUCAU